GCUGGGCAUGGUGGCACACACCUGUAAUCCCAGCAGCUUAGGAGGCUGAGGCAGGAGGACUGCAAGCUCAAAGCCAGCCUUAGCAAAAACGAGGCGCUAAGCAACUCAGCAAGACCCUGUCUCUA
rnacentral:sRNA from 1 species